rnacentral:sRNA from 1 species
UUAAGUGGCCUGGAGACUGAAAUCCUUUAUUUAUUCACAGAAUAGUUACAGCAGGGAACAUUUCCCCAUAAUGCCCUGCCAAAGUGCUUCAAUUUGGAGCUGGAAGAACCACAUUAUGUAGCAUUAUUCAAUUUCCAUGUCCAUUCAUUCCUUGAUUUCU